rfam:Trichomalopsis sarcophagae strain Alberta scaffold13526, whole genome shotgun sequence.
UAAUCGGCCCUUUUCAGGGCCACCAGAUAUUAAAACGUUGGGAUAUU